rnacentral:rRNA from 1 species
UACGUAGGGGGGCAAGCGUUGUCCGGAUUUAUUGGGCGUAAAGAGCGUGUAGGCGGCCAAACAGGUCCGUUGUGAAAACUGGAGGCUUAACCUCCAGACGUCGACGGAAACCGUGUGGCUAGAGUCCGGAAGAGGAGAGUGGAAUUCCUGGUGUAGCGGUGAAAUGCGCAGAUAUCAGGAAGAACACCCCGUGGCUAAGGCGGUUCUCUAGUACGGUACUGACGCUGAGACGCGAAAGCGUGGGGAGCGAACAGG